rnacentral:rRNA from 1 species
UACGUAGGGUGCAAGCGUUAAUCGGAAUUACUGGGUGUAAAGCGCGUGCAGGCGGUCGGCUAAGUUGGGUGUGAAAGCUCCUGGCUCAACUGGGAGAGGUCGCUCAAGACUGGCCGACUGGAGAGCAGUAAGGGAAGGUGGAAUUCCGGGUGUAGUGGUGAAAUGCGUAGAUAUCCGGAGGAACACCAGUGGCGAAGGCGGCCUUCUGGACUGCUUCUGACGCUCAGACGCGAAAGCUAGGGGAGCAAACGGGG